GUCUACGGCCAUGCCAUCCUGAACAAGCCCGAUGUCUGAUCUCAGAAGCUAAGCAGGGUCGGGCCUGGUUAGUACUUGGAUGGAAGUCCACCUAGGAAGACCACCUAGGAAGACC
rnacentral:rRNA from 1 species